rnacentral:lncRNA from 1 species
GCCAUGCAAUUGUACUUGAGAAAUGGUCAUGUGAUUCAUCCAAAUGGAACCAUGAAAAGUAACCAUGCGCAUGUCCUUGAAAAAUACUCCAAAUUCUAUGAUCUUGAACUUUUUAGAAAGGUGACAUCAAGGGGAACAACUUUGACUUUUAACACUUUUCCAUUUGGAUCUUGGAUAAUGAUGAAUUUUGAGGUGGAAGUUUGAG